UACGGAGGGUGCAAGCGUUAUCCGGAUUCACUGGGUUUAAAGGGUGCGUAGGUGGGCAGGUAAGUCAGUGGUGAAAUCUCCGGGCUUAACCCGGAAACUGCCGUUGAUACUAUCUGUCUUGAAUAUCGUGGAGGUGAGCGGAGUAUGUCAUGUAGCGGUGAAAUGCUUAGAUAUGACAUAGAACAUCAAUUGCGAAGGCAGCUCGCUACACGGUUAUUGACACUGAGGCACGAAAGCGUGGGGAUCAAACAGG
rnacentral:rRNA from 1 species